GCCACCACCCCUCGCCCCACCGCCGCGCGCCACCACCCCUUGCGCCGCCGCCGCGCGCCACCAUCCCUCGCCCCGCGGCCGCGCGCCACCACUCCUCGGCCCCCCGCCGGGAGCCACCAUCCCUCGCCCCGUCGCCGCACGCCGGUAGCCCCCGCCCCAUGGCGAACCGCGCCUCAACCACCCCGACGACCUCCGCGUGAAGAUUUCCUCGGCGAGAUCCGACGUAUGCUUCUUCUGCGGGGUAGGAGGCGGAGGACGCAGCGGUGACUCCCACGCUAGGGAUGCAGAGGACACGCACGGCGCGCGACGCAAGAUGGUGGUCAUGGGUGGUGAUGCGCCUGUGCGCCGCCCCAUCCACGGCUGACCGCCGCUCGAAGCUGCCCCUGCACGCCGCCGACUCAUCCAGGCACUGCCCCCUGCUUCCUCCCAUGUGGCCUUCUUCCUCUGUCCACUACUGGCUCGUCGGCAGUUCUUCUUCGCCAACACCCGAAGAUGGAGAUGUGUGUAUGUAUACCUGUGUUCUGGAGAUAGGAGAACUUAUCUGGUGGUGUGUGCGUGCUGCUGCAUCCUCUUCCGGCCGCUCUAAUGCACACCCUCAGUACAACUUCUUUCGGUUCAAUUUAUAAAUUUCAUUCAGUUCGGCGAGGUGGAGAUUGGGGCGCGGUGGGGUGUGGCCUUGCGUGUGGAGACGGCCCGCCGCAACGUCACCGGCCGGAUCCCGCUCUUCAGUUGCUUAUAAGCUUGACAUCUUUGAUGAAUCCAGCCCGAACUGAAGCAUGUCGGCAAGCCGGGCGCUGGGCCAACCACUGUUGUCUGUCUACCUCCUUCCCCGUGCAGAGAAGUUACCCUGUUGCGGGCUGACCUGGAGGCUCCUUCUCCACGUCGACACAAUUGCAGGACCAACGUGCUACUGACCACGCAAGCUUUCUCAAGGAGUUCGUGUCCAACGAUACUGAAAGGAAAAAUGGAGUGAAAGUGCUACUCCUCCAGUUUUGAACUUCUUAUUCAGUCAUGCUAUUACUGAGUGAAAAAUGGAGUCAAAGUGUAUUGCAAUUGAUCUCUCUUAGACCCUGGCAAUCCUCUAUUUAUCCUUUGUUUGCUUGUCUUUUGGUCUGUAAUUCAAGAACUUUGACCUUCGUAAUUCGGUUUUUGGUUAAUUUAUUAUGCCCGGUACAAACCUUUAAAUCUGAAGAGGCUUCUAAUAGCAAGGAAAUGUGCAGCCGGUGUGGUGUAUAUGUCAUUCAUGUAUGAAAAUGUGCAGCCGGUGUGGUGUAUAUGUUAUUCAUGUACAUGUAUUAUAUGUGUGAAAAAAUUUCUGUAUAUGAUGAGAUGAUUGCUACUUCUUUAAA